rnacentral:rRNA from 1 species
AUGAACGCUGGCGGCGUGCCUAAUACAUGCAAGGCGAGCGAACAGACGAGGAGCUUGCUCCUCUGACGUUAGCGGCGGACGGGUGAGUAACACGUGGAUAACCUACCUAUAAGACUGGGAUAACUUCGGGAAACCGGAGCUAAUACCGGAUAAUAUAUUGAACCGCAUGGUUCAAUAGUGAAAGACGGUUUUGCUGUCACUUAUAGAUGGAUCCGCGCCGCAUUAGCUAGUUGGUAAGGUAACGGCUUACCAAGGCAACGAUGCGUAGCCGACCUGAGAGGGUGAUCGGCCACACUGGAACUGAGACACGGUCCAGACUCCUACGGGAGGCAGCAGUAGGGAAUCUUCCGCAAUGGGCGAAAGCCUGACGGAGCAACGCCGCGUGAGUGAUGAAGGUCUUCGGAUCGUAAAACUCUGUUAUUAGGGAAGAACAAAUGUGUAAGUAACUAUGCACGUCUUGACGGUACCUAAUCAGAAAGCCACGGCUAACUACGUG